CUUGCCAUUUCCAUUGCCAUAGCCAAUGUCGCGUGUUCAUCUCCCUGCAGAGCUGUGAGAUCAUGAGCCCCUCUUAUGGAAGGGAAACAGGGACUCACAGGAGCGAAGUGGCUUCUCCAGGGUCCUACGCUGAUCCGAGUGUCCAGUCCAGGGCUCUAAUUCCAAAGUCUAGCUUCCACAAAGGGCUGUCUUGGGAAGUGGUGAGCUCUCCAUCAGUAGAGGUGUGCAAGGAGAGGUUGAGCACCCCCUCGGCAAGGAGACAGAGAAGAGGACGGGCCUCCAGAGAUCAACCGGAAAGCCAGGCUGCCCCCUGCUGUGCUCCAGUCCUGGCUGCUCAAGCCUUCCUGCUGGGUUCUGAAGGAAGUCUGUGAAAGCCAGGCCACUUUCUGGCAGGUGAACUCUAAGCCUUUGAGCUUUAAAGUUGGCUGUGCCUCACACGGUGCCAGCCUCAGCCAUGCCCAUCCUCUCAUCCCUGCCCCGAUGAGACCCGGGAUGAAGGGUUUGAGGAGACGGGUCUGGACCACCAAGUGAGAGGUCACUGUCUGGUUCCCAGCCACAGACAACCACUCCUGGGGUGUCUCCUGGAAGGGUGAGUUGGGGGUUGGGAAGGAGGAAUUGGCCCAGCAGACAUAUCCUAGGAGGGGCAUGUGGCAGUCCUCUAACUUGCAAGUCCAGAGCCACCGAGCCAGGCCCUUCUCUGCUGUCCUGCACCGUGGCCUUUGUGACCUCUCAGGGAGGGGCCCUGGCAUCACCCAGAGAUGGCUGUAAGGUGCUCUCACUCACUCAGGGCCUCGGGCCUCGCUCAGAUGUGGGGACCUUCCCAGGGACACGGGCAGCGGAUGCUGUGGGGUCGGGCAGGCGGUCAGCUCCCCGCAUGCGCCUGCACCCUGAAGCAGAACAGGGCCCCUGGCCUCGGAGAGCCCCCUGGUCUCCAUGUCCCUGAAGCGCGGCGGGGGGAGCGUUCCACAGGCGCAGCCUUUCCGGAAAGGAGCGCCUCCGACCGUGCGGCAGGUCUGCAGCCCCUGGCGCAGCCAGCGUUCGCCUUCUGGAAGCGCCGGAGGCUGGAAGAGCGAGGGCUCUGCUCGCCAAGCUGCUCUCCGCAGCGUUGCUGUCUGCUGUCGAGGAAGGACGUCAGCCUGACGGUCCCCAGCCUUUUCCUGACACUUGAGCAUCCUCACGACGUGGCAGCUGUCUCCAGAGAGAGGGGCCCAAGGCAGAGAGCAAGGAUGAAGCUGGAGCCCCUCUUAUGACCUAGUCUCAGAAGUUGCGCUCCAUCACAUCCCCUUCUUUCUACUUCUUCGAAGGGAAUCAGUAAGUCCAGCCUGCACUCGAGAGGCAGGGCAUUAAAUUUCAACUUUGGGAGGGUGCAUCAGAGAACCUACCACCACACUUUAAAUCGCCAUGGGCACAGGACCAGUCAGCCGCUUCACUGGGAUUCCAACCUCAGCCAUCACGGCCCACAGGCCUGGGGUCCUUCUUCCUUUUCAGGAUUAGUGGGACACUGUUACAUUACAUUACAUUAGUGUGACACUCCACCCCUCAGGAUUAAGGUGACCCUCUUGGUUGGUAUCACAGGUGUAAGUAGGCACUGACUGAUCUGAGCACGGCUGGAGGGUCUGGAAUCACGGGUGAGCUGCCCUGAUCUGGAAUUUAGGAUGUGUUUUGAUGGGAAAGCUGACAGGUCAGAAUCGCUGAGGUUCCCAGCUGUGCUGUCUCAGCUGCUAUCAGGGAACAGGGGACAGCUCGGUCAUCCAGUGUCGGGUGUGUGUGUACGUGUGUGUGUAUGUGAGUAUGUCUGUGUGUGUCUGUGUGUGUGUCUUUGUGUGUGUGUCUGUGUGUGUGUGCAUAUGUGUAUCUCUGUGUAUGUGUCUGUGUGCAUGUCUAUGUGUGUACAUGUGUAUAUGUGUUUGUGUAUGUGCAUGUUUGUGUGUGUGUGUGUCCUAUGUGUGUGUCUGAAUUUCUGUGUGUGGCUGUUGUGUACACCUGUGUGUGUGUGUGUCCGUGUCUGUGUACAUGUGUGUCUGUACAUGUCUGUGUGUUUCCCUGUCUGUGAGUGUUUGUGUGUGCAUGUGCCCAGGUGUGUGCGCACAGUGGGCAGUAGGCUUGGGGAGUAGAUUGUACAGGCCCUUGCAGGCCCUGGUAAGGCGUUUGGGCUUCAAAUUGUAAUGAGUGGAGCCAUAAGGGGUUGAAGCAAGGAGUUUAAGGUGAGCCGAGGUCCAGUUUCUCCUUUGGAAGGUGCUGCAGGGUGGAGAAUGGGGUGGGGGGCCAAGGCUGUCUAGGGGCGAGCACACACCAUCCAGGAGACCACGGCCAGCCUGGACUGGAUGGUGGCCCGUGAGGAGAGGAGUGGGAAGGGGUCAGUUGCUGGGAUUUGGUGACCGUUUGGUCUUGAGGUCGAGGAGGAUGGGAGGAGCCCACGAUGCCGUGGCUGUCUGGUGGGUAUUGGUGGCAUUGCUGAGAAGAGGACCUAGGAGAAGAGGGAGCUGGAUGAGAGAGGACAAGGAGCCCAGUUUUGAUCAGCCUGCGUGAGAUGCUGGUGGCUCAUCCCUGGGUGGCCCUGGAGUGUUUGGCUAUUUGCGACUAGAGCUCCACCGAGAGGUGAGGGCUGGGGAGCAGGCUCUGGGAGGCACCCGAUGGCGCAGUGAAGAGCCUGGUCUUGGAGGAGAGAUAGACUUGAGCUUUGAAUGUUAACCUUCUUUGGGCCUCAGUGUCCUCAACUGUAAACUGGGGACAAACAUCGUUCUGAAGACUAUGCACGCAAUGUAUGCAGAGUGCUCUGGCAUACGCUGGCACACAAUGAACUCAAAGUCCCCUCCUUGCACCAGAAGGCCCAGGGAAUUGUGAGGGAUGUGCACCCCCCUGGGGAGAAAGAGGCAGCUAGAAUUGGGGGACGGGGCCCUCCUAAGAGCUAGAUUCUGGGUGCACCGGAUGUCUGUCCAGAACAAGGCCCUGUUCCCACCAGUUCCCACCAGUUCCCACCAGUUCCCAGGACCGGCUGUGAGUCAUUGCUGCUGCCUUUGUUUUGACUGGUGCCUGAUGCAGCCUGGCUCUGCAAUGAUGCAGAUGCUGAUGCUGUUGCUAGGCAACCGAGCUACAGCACAAAUCCUCUGAGGCCUCUGUGCCCCUCACCCCUUACCCCAGAGCUGCUGACAGUGGUUGACUUGAAACUGGCUGUCAAAACGGAGAGGAGUUCACCUGCAGGUCCGAGGCCCCAAGAUGCGUGUUCUAACUACUCCCAUCUGACAGAUGAGAAACCCAGGACUUAGAGAGGGAAAGUGGCUCAUCCAAGCCCACCUUCAGAGUCGAUGGAGGAACUGAGAUGUAAGCCUGGGUCUGUCUGAGUCCAGGAAUCAUGAGAGGAAAGGGAAUUCGGCGUUGAUUCCUCGCCUGGUUUCAGCACUCCCUGCUUCAUCCGCUGUCCACUGCAAUUCAUUCUCUGCAAAGCAACUGGAAGUCAGAUCUGUGCUGCUGCUACAGCCCGCCCACCCUGCCCAGGGCCUCGGGGUGCCCCUUACACUAAAUACUCGUGCUGUGUGCAGCCUGACACUGCGAGCCCUCCGUGGCAUCACUUCCCUCCCCAUUCAUGCUUCCUCCUCCCUCCUUUCUGUGUCUCCUUCCUUUUCUCUAAGCUUCAUGCUCUCCAAGGCCUCAGAGCAGGUGACUUCCCCACCUUGACACGGGGAGAUCCUCGCCCACCGCCCGCAGGUUUCAGCUCAGAUGCCUCCCCAGCAGCCUUCCCCGAGGCUGAGUGUGGAGUCUGCUUGCUCCUAGGUGGCCCUGCACACCCCUUUGUGCCCAUUCAAGUGACUCUCCUCUAACCAGGCAAUGAGAGUCCACAUGUCACUCGCUCUUCAUCUACUCCAACACCUACCCAGACCAAGAAAUACGUUCUGAAGGGAUGAGCGUCUGAAAAGUGGAUGUCUGAACCCGUGAAGCAAGCGUCCUGGGGUGUUUGGUCUUAACAUUCAUUGAGCAUGAAUGUUUAAUCUGCCUCUGCUCUGGCCAGACAUUGUGCUGGGUCUAGUGCGCAUCCCCGGGGAAGCACUCACACCUCACUGUAGCCUAUUUUGCAGGUGAGGAACCUGAGGCUCAGAGACAGGAAGCAACUUGCCCAAGGCAGCACAGCGUGUAAUUAAAAGUGCCAGGAUCCAAGCCCAAGUCUAUCUAUCUGGUCCCACAGCUCUGCUGUGAAGUUCCUGGUCUCUCUGAAGAGCAUUUAAAAUGAAACAGUGCAGAAAUAAGAGCCCUGACAUUUUCACGGAUCCACAGUGUUUGCAGACACCUUCAGUUCGGAGACAACACCUGUCAGAGAAUGAAAAGGCCAAGUUGAGGCUGGGAGUGGAGGAGCGGAGAAUAGCGGGGUAGGGGAGUUACAGGGAAAGCACAGGGAGAGAGCCGCACUGGGUGGUCCCUCCCCAGGACACCAGGAGCACCCUCCUCCCCUCCACAGCACUCAGCAGGGUCCGCUCAGUGACGAGUCCGCAGACCUGGUGCACUGCCUUGGCCUCUCCGCCCUCAGCGGCCCAGCCAUCUGGACCCUGUCCCCAGGAGCCAGGCAGGCCUCCCGGCUGAGAAGGGGCACAGCCAUGCCCGGCUGCAGCAGCUCUUCUCGGAAAGUGGGGCAGCAGGUGCCUGCAGCCUGGGGGAGGCAUGAGGGAGCUUUGGGAUGGCCAGAGUGACAUGUGCAGGAUGGAGGGG
rnacentral:lncRNA from 1 species